UUAUACCAGACGUGACAUGCACAGAUAAAUCUUGAUACUCACACAUAAAUGAACGCAUAAACAUUUUGAGUUAACUUGCUUCAAUCGCGAGUGAAAUUCACUUCACAAUAGACGCGGAUUCGCAUCAAAAACAGGGCUUCAGUCUGCACGGUGACUGUAGCUUCAUUGCUAAAUGGCUAAGAUGGAUAUUAUUAAGAAAAUAAUUGUGUUUGUGCUUUCUGAAGGCUAAAAAAUCUAAGUUGAUUAGUUUGGAGCCGUGUCUAAGUCCCCUAGAACCUUUCAGAGGUGCAGCAGCUCUGUGAGUUCAUGAACUCCUCCAGAAACUGUACCUGGAUGAUGGAAGCUUUCAGCUGUGGUUUUGACCAAGACAAGCCCAGUUUGAUCAUGCCGCAGGGUGUCUAUUUGCGUCUUUGCAUUGACUUAACAUAUAAAUCUCUCACGCUUGACCCUUAUUCCACAUCUGGUGUGAAUGCAGCAUAAUACUAUUAAAGGUUGUGAUAUAGGAUGUUUUUAUUUUUCAUAUUUAUUAGAUUAAAGUUUAUAAAUUGAAUGCUUUUAUAGUGCCCAAAAUGAGCGUGCCUCACACAGGUGAGUGGACUUGAAAAACCACCUGUAGAGAAGACUUUCAUCUCUCUCACUCUAUUGAAUGUUGUAGCACAUGCCACAAAGUUUUUAUUAGAUUAAAGGUUAUAGAUUUUUGUAUCCAUUUAUAGUCCUCACCCUGAGUGGGCCUCACAGAGAUGAGUGGGCAAUGGGCAAGCCUGUGCUUGCAUGGAAUCGUCAGAGGAGCGGAGUGAAAAUGUGUUUUGAUCUAUGAGUGCAAUACCUAGUUCAACCACUGGGUAUCAAACUGCACUUUUUAAUUGACUCUAUGCACGAAUUCUGCUGACGUGUUUCCGGUAGAAUAUAAGUCAGUCACUCUACUUCCGUAUAACGCCUUCUACAGUGAAAUCUUAUAGCGGCGGAACCUAAAUGCAUUCAGAGCAUGGCAAAGAAAACGGAAAUUUACCCUUACAUUGAUGAGGGUCCUGUGCCAGUGGAUGCCCGGCAUCUGUAACAUCAUUAUUGUUCAGUUUUACAACCCACGGCAGAAGAUUAAUGUACCGGAUGAGGCUUACAAGUCUCCGUGAGGAGGUGGAGUGACUGAAAGGAGAUUGCUUCGAUGCUGCUUUUGGUGUUUUACAGCUCUAAAAGUACGAUUAAAAGUGAUGUACUACAAUUUAACCCAGAGGAAACAAGUAACAAGUUGUUUACAACUUGCAUCCUACAACAUACAGAGUAACGUGUCCAGAGUAAGCGCAACUGUGAGGGAGACACCGUCCAUGGCAUGGCUGAGGGUCCGCACUGAGCAUCAUGAAGCAACACAAGAUGGACAGUCAUCAUCUCUUUCUAUUACAGCGAGCAUCAACCAGAUUUAUACAAUGGCUUGCCCUCUGCCCAUUAGUAAAAGCUUGAGCUAAAGAUUAAAGAGUACACACACUGUAGAUAAUUUAUAUGUUGUUGCCUGCGCUGCCGGAAUAUAAAGUUGUCAAUAUAAUAAACAUUAAUUUUCAACAUAAUCAUUUAAACAUAUAUCACAGAACAGUUUGAGUGAACAAUUGCUCUGCACUAAUGUAAAUAUAAAUAACUUUAGAUACUUGCACUGCAGUGCAUAGAGAAAUAUGCAAUGAUUACCUUCAUCAAAUGUACCACCUCUGACUUUUGAUAAAACUCUGGCAGGCAACUACCGUCAGAACCCAAGUGAUGCUCAAUCACUGGUUGUAUUUAAUUACAUUUAAUGUUGCCUUUUAAAAAAGAUAAUGGUUUUAAUAUGAUUACAAGAAUAAUGCAAAAUGCAUUUAAGUCCCAUUAAUGUAAUGAUUGGGAUACCACCUCCAACUCAUUUUGAACACGGAAAACCCUGAAAUAUAUAAAUAUAAAAGUAACUAGACAUUUGCACUGCAGUAAUGACCUAAACUCUGAAAGCUGAACUACACUGUUUUAAUUUACUAUGAUCUUUUAUUUGAAGCUGCUAUGACACACUCUACAUUGUAAAAGUGCUAUAAAAAACAUGAAUUUAAUUGAAUUGAAUGUUUUGUGAGUAUGGAGUCAAACUUGGCCCUAAAUAUUAAGUCAACCAAAUCUCCUAGAAUUUAACUAAUUGUAUCUGCUACUUUCUACAGCUAGAGACUGUAUGUUUAUACCAUAUUCAUAUCUUUAAUUAAAUCUGGUUUGUAUUUAAUUUUAACAGAUUGAUUCUAAGGAAUCUGACAAUAAAAAAAUUAAAAUAAAAAAUAAAAACUCACUAAGCAGUGAA